rnacentral:rRNA from 1 species
UUUAUAUAAAGUCUGGUCUGCUCACUGAGUUUUAAAGAGCCGCAGUAUUUUGACUGUGCGAAGGUAGCAUAAUAAUUAGUUUCUUUAUUGGGAACUGGUAUGAAUGGUUGGACGAGAAAAUGACUGUCUCUUUCUGAUUUGGUUGAAUUUUACUUUUAAGUUAAAAGGCUUAAAUUUUUUUGAAAGACGAGAAGACCCUAUAGAGUUUUAUUUUUAGAUUUUUAUUAAUUUUAGGUAUUUAAUAUUUUAUGAAUUUUGAAAAUUUGAUUGGGGUGAUUGAAAAAUUGAUUAAACUUUUUUUUUAUUUUUACAAAUUUAAUUGAGUGUGUGAUCCACAUUUUGUGAUUAUAAGAUUAAAUUACCUUAGGGAUAACAGCGUAAUCUUUCYUGAGAGUUCUUAUCGAUAGAAGGGGUUGCG